UCCAGGAGGUCAGGGAUUUAUCUCUUGUGUUCACUUACUGUAUCUCCAGCACCUGAGUUUGUGCUUAAUAACUGUGUUAAAUUUUGUUGGUGUUGGUAUUGAUUGAUGGAGCUGGGUUUGGUGGAAGGACCUGCCUAUGCAACCUGACAGAUCUGAGCCUCAGCUUAGAAUUGUGCCUCCCUCGUACCAGCCAGCUGUGUAGGCUGCAAGUUUCUAUUUGUGAAGGCAGUGGCUUGGGGUAGGCGGCCUCAUCAUUGACAUAUCUUUGAAGUGGCCCCAGCUCUGGCAUCCUAUGAAUCUGGCAUUCUGUGAUCUGAUUCCCUUACUUGAAAUUCUCUCCAGUUCUGCCCCACCACCACCUUCAUGUUUUCUUAGGUUUUUAAAAUGAGCCAACAAGUGGUUAGAUCCUUGUCUCCUUUACACCUCCUCUCACUUGGUAGGAAUGUAAUCAAAUGCAUUUCUAAAUUACUGAAAGUAGCCCUGUGACUUCUCAUUUAUCAGCAACCAUAAAUGCUUAGUGCAGUGUUUCUAAGGACACUGGCAAAAAAUCAGACCUCGUCCUGUCUAGGGAUGAACAUAAAGGUGUGAUGUCAAACUCAACUAAAUGCUCCGAAGGAAAAUUGUGUGGUGCUGGGAUGGUAGAAUGGGGCAUUGACCAUAUCUGGGGUGGGUGGAGCCACCAUGAGGUGGAGACCUGAGGGACCAGUAGGAGUUGAGAGAGAAUAGACGAAGAAAGGGAAGUUCCAGGCAGAGGAACCCGAGAGAAGGUGGCCUUCUAUAUAAAAGAGAAGGUCAAGACUUUUGAUCACCUAAACUUUUCCAGGCCUUGAGACUGGCUGCUCAAGUUACCUGGGGGUGGGAUUUA